CAAUAGCGUAUAUUAAAGUUGUUGCAGUUAAAAAGCUCGUAGCUGGAUUUCUGGCAGGAGCGACCGGUCACACACUCUGUGUGUGAACUUGCGUUGUCUCUGGCCAUCCUUGGGAAGAUCCUGUUUGGCAUUAAGUUGUCGGGCAGGGGAUACCCAUCGUUUACUGUGAAAAAAUUAGAGUGUUUAAAGCAGGCUUAUGCCGUUGAAUAUAUUAGCAUGGAAUAAUAAGAUAGGACUUCGGAACUAUUUUGUUGGUUUGCGUUACGAAGUAAUGAUUAAUAGGGACAGUUGGGGGUAUUCGUAUUUCGUUGUCAGAGGUGAAAUUCUUGGAUUUCCGAAAGACGAACUACUGCGAAAGCAUUUACCAAGGAUGUUUUCAUUAA
rnacentral:rRNA from 1 species